rnacentral:rRNA from 1 species
UGAUGAAGCCUUUCGGGGUGUAAAGCUCUGUCAAGAGGGAUGAUUAUGACAGUACCUCUAAAGGAAGCCACGGCUAAUUACGUGCCAGCAGCCGCGGUAAUACGUAAGUGGCGAGCAUUAUCCGGAUUUAUUGGGCAUAAAGAGCAUGUAGGUGGUAAUUUAAGUCAGAUGUUAAAUCCCAUAGCUUAACUAUGGUCUGCAUUUGAAACUGAGUUACUAGAGGUUAGUAGAGGGAAGUGGAACUCAUAGUGUAGCGGUGAAAUGCGUAGAUAUUAUGAGGAACACCAGUGGCGAAGGCGACUUCCUGGACUAAUUCUGACACUGAGAUGCGAAAGCGUGGGGAGCGAACGGGAUUAGAUACCCCGGUAGUCCACGCCGUAAACGUUGUUCACUAGGUGUAGGAGGUAUCGACCCCUUCUGUGCCACAGAUAAUUCGUUAAGUGAACCGCCUGGGGAGUACGACCGCAAGGUUAAAACUCAAAGGAAUUGACGGGGGCCCGCACAAGCAGUGGAGCAUGUGGUUUAAUUCGAUGAUACGCGAAGAACCUUACCAAGACUUGACAUCUAUGGAAUCCCCUAGAGAUAGAGGAGUGCCCGCAAGGGAAUCAUAAGACAGGUGCUGCAUGGCUGUCGUCAGCUCGUGUCGUGAGAUGUUGGGUUAAGUCCCGUAACGAGCGCAACCCCUAUCCUUAUUUGCCAGCACAUCAUGGUGGGAACUAUAAGGAGACUGCCGGUGAUAAACCGGAGGAAGGCGGGGACGACGUCAAGUCAUCAUGGCCCUUACGACCAGGGCUACACACGUGCUACAAUGGGAAGGACAAAGAGCCGCGAAGCCGCGAGGUGUAGCUAAUCUCAGAAACCUUUUCGUAGUCCGGAUUGGAGUCUGCAACUCGACUCCAUGAAGUCGGAAUCGCUAGUAAUCGUAGAUCAGAAUGCUACGGUGAAUACGUUCCCGGGUCUUGUACACACCGCCCGUCAUACCAUGGGAGUGGGUUGCACCAGAAGUGGCUAGUCUAACUUAGUGAGGACGGUCACCACGGUGUGAUUCAUGACUGGGGUAAAGUCGUAACAAGGUAGCCCUACCGGAAGGUGGGGCUG